rnacentral:rRNA from 1 species
UACAGGGGGUGCAAACGUUGCUCGGAAUCAUUGGGCGUAAAGCGCACGUAGGCGGUUCGUUAUGUCGGAUGUGAAAGCCCUUGGCUUAACCGAGGAAGUGCAUCCGAAACUGGCGGGCUAGAGUACUAAAGAGGAUCGCGGAAUUCCCGGUGUAGAGGUGAAAUUCGUAGAUAUCGGGAGGAACACCGGUGGCGAAGGCGGCGAUCUGGGUAGAUACUGACGCUGAGGUGCGAAAGCGUGGGGAGCAAACAGG